rnacentral:rRNA from 1 species
CCUACGGGAGACUGCAGUGAGGAAUAUUGGUCAAUGGUCGCGAGCCUGAACCAGCCAAGCAGCGUGAGGGAUGAAUGCACAGAGUGUCGUAAACUUCUUUUGUCAGGGAACAAAGACUGGCACGUGUCCCCGGUUGAGUGUACCUGAAGAAUAAGCAUCGGCUAACUCCGUGCCAGCAGCCGCGGUAAUACGGAGGAUCCGAGCGUUAUCCGGAUUUAUUGGGUUUAAAGGGUGCGUCGGUGGUCUGUUAAGUCAGCUGUGAAAGCCUGGGGCUCAACCCUGGUACUGCCGUUGAAACUGGCAGUCUUGAGUACGGUAGAGGUAGGCGGAAUGCGUGGUGUAGCGGUGAAAUGCAUAGAUAUCGCGAAGAACUCCGAUUGCGAAGGCAGCAUGC